UUAUCCCUUACUUAGGCGCGGGGAAUUUUCUAGAUGAAGGUUCACAUCGAAUUUUAUUUGUAGUAUUCCAGCAACCUUAUAGACGAAAA